rnacentral:rRNA from 1 species
CCUACGGGAGGCAGCAGUAGGGAAUAUUGCUCAAUGGGGGAAACCCUGAAGCAGCAACGCCGCGUGGAGGAUGAAGGUCUUAGGAUCGUAAACCUCUGUCAGCAGGGAAGAACGGUCACUGUGCUAAUCAGCAGUGAAUUGACGGUACCUGCAAAGGAAGCACCGGCUAACUCCGUGCCAGCAGCCGCGGUAAUACGGAGGGUGCGAGCGUUAAUCGGAAUUACUGGGCGUAAAGCGCUCGUAGGCGGUAUGUCAAGUCAAGGGUGAAAUCCCCGCGCUCAACGUGGGAACUGCCUUUGAAACUGGCAAACUGGAGUGUGUGAGAGGAUAGUGGAAUUCCAGGUGUAGGAGUGAAAUCCGUAGAUAUCUGGAGGAACAUCAGUGGCGAAGGCGACUAUCUGGCACAUAACUGACGCUGAGGAGCGAAAGCGUGGGUAGCAAACAGGAUUAGAUACCCCUGUAGUC